UACGUAGGUGGCAAGCGUUGUCCGGAUUUACUGGGCGUAAAGAGCGCGCAGGCGGUCGUUCAAGUCGCGUGUGAAAGCCCCCGGCUCAACUGGGGAGGGUCACGCGAUACUGAUCGACUCGAAGGCAGGAGAGGGUAGUGGAAUUCCCGGUGUAGUGGUGAAAUGCGUAGAUAUCGGGAGGAACACCAGUGGCGAAGGCGGCUUUCUAGGAUAUACCUGACACUGAGAAGCGACAGCUAGGGGAGCAAACAGG
rnacentral:rRNA from 1 species